rnacentral:rRNA from 1 species
AUUGAACGCUAGCGGGAUGCUUUACACAUGCAAGUCGAACGAGAGGCGGACGGGUGAGUAAUAUAUCGGAACGUGCCCAGUAGCGGGGGAUAACUACUAGAAAGAGUGGCUAAUAAAGCAUACGACUGGAGCGGCCGCUAUCGGAUUAGCUAGUUGGUGGGGUAAAGGCUCACCAAGGCAACGUACCGUAGCUGGUAUGAGAGGACGACCAGCCACACUGGUACUGCGACACGGCCCAGACUCCUACGGUAGGCAGCAGUGGGGAAUUUUGCACAAUGGGGGAAACCCUGAUCCAGCCAUCCCGCGUGUAUGAGAAGGCCUUCGGGUUGUAAAGUACUUUUGGCAGAGAAGCGGUACCUGCAGAAUAAGCACCGGCUAACUACGUGCCAGCCGCCGCGGUAAUUC